rnacentral:rRNA from 1 species
AUUCCGGUUGAUCCUGCCGGAGGUCAUUGCUAUCGGGGUCCGAUUUAGCCAUGCUAGUCGCGCGGGUUAGACCCGCGGCGUAUAGCUCAGUAACACGUGGCCAAACUACCCUACAGACGAGAACAACCUCGGGAAACUGAGGCUAACACUCGAUACGCGUUGACCGUUUGAACACGUCGACGCUCAAACGCUCCGGCGCUGUAGGAUGUGGCUGCGGCCGAUUAGGUAGACGGUGGGGUAACGGCCCACCGUGCCGAUAAUCGGUACGGGUUGUGAGAGCAAGAGCCCGGAGACGGAAUCUGAGACAAGAUUCCGGGCCCUACGGGGCGCAGCAGGCGCGAAACCUUUACACUGCACGCCAGUGCGAUAAGGGGACCCCGAGUGAAAGGAGCAUAUCGCCCUUUCUUUUCUGAACCGUAGGGAGGUUCAGGAACAAGAGCUGGGCAAGACCGGUGCCAGCCGCCGCGGUAAUACCGGCAGCUCGAGUGAUGACCGAUUUUAUUGGGCCUAAAGCGUCCGUAGCUGGCCGCGCAAAGUCCGUCGGGAAAUCCACCCGCUUAACGGGUGGGCGUCCGGCGGAAACUGUGCGGCUUGGGACAGGAAGGCUCGAGGGGUACGUUCGGGGUAGGAGUGAAAUCCCGUAAUCCUGAACGGACCACCGAUGGCGAAAGCACCUCGAGAGGACUGAUCCGACAGUGAGGGACGAAAGCUGGGGUCUCGAACCGGAUUAGAUACCCGGGUAGUCCCAGCCGUAAACGAUGUUCGCUAGGUGUGACACUCACUACGAGUGAGUGUUGUGCCGCAGGGAAGCCGCUAAGCGAACCGCCUGGGAAGUACGUCCGCAAGGAUGAAACUUAAAGGAAUUGGCGGGGGAGCACUACAACCGGAGGAGCCUGCGGUUUAAUUGGACUCAACGCCGGUAACCUUACCAGCCCCGACUACGGUGAUGACGGUCAGGUUGAUGACCUCACCACGAUGCCGU